CUUAUUAUAAAUGACCCUCUUUGUUGCGAGUAAUGCCUUUUGCAUUUACAACUGAUGGAGACAGGACGCAGCCAAAAGUCCCUGGUGAAACCCCGCCUUCAAGCCUAAAACAGCCUGAAGGAUGAAAAACCAGACUUCUGGUGCCUGAUGAAGCCUGCCCUUUCCUGACUGAUUCUAAAUAAUGCCUACCUGCCAACUGGGAAGGCAGGGUGGAGCCUUCGGAAAUUCAUGACCUUCGCAGGGGAGAGGAGCUUGGCCUCUCCUAUUCCUGUGUGGUGACCUGGGAUUCAAACUGUGAGGCGGAAAACCUGCUAGCAGGAGUCUCGCUUUGCUGAGAGUUAUUUUUCUUUUCCUUUUUAUCCAAUAAAUUCCGUCUUCUCACGCUUCUAUGUGUCUGUGACCCUACUCUUUCCUGGUCGUGUGACAAGAGCCUGGUUUUAGCUGACCUAAGAAGAAAGUUCUGCAACAUUUUUGGUGUCCAGACGUGAGUCUUGAGGAAGGACAAGUACAGACAAUCACCAGGAACUAAGGAACAAGAAGCAUCCAACCCUGCAUCUGUGGGUUUCCUGAGGUGACUCUCAAUUGUCAUAGGGGUGAAGAGUGAGUGAGGAAACCCUUGGAGCACUUGUUUGCUUCACAGACAUCCUGACCUCCUUUCAACUGUAAAGACUUAGUCAGAGGACGGCGGCUCCCUCAGCCUCAUUCUGCAGUUCCAAUGACACUUUUUACAAAGGCUCUGUACUUGUCUGAUUCUUAAAUAUUCCAGUUUUUGAACUUUGCUGCAGUAGUUGUAUUCGAAAUGGGUUAAUUGUCUCAUUUUCUUUUUAAUGCCUACUCUUUCAAGGCUCAAAUCUUGAAUAGGUCAAAAAGAGCAAGAGGAAAAUGUCAGAGAAUGGAGAAAGGCAAAUACAGAGAAGCAGUGUGAACAUCCACCCGGCGAGGUGACCUGAUGGUGCUGCUCCAUGUCAGAGACAGUAGUGUCUGGGAAGAGGGAGCCCUUUCCACAGGGUGGAGCAAAAGGCCUGGAGCUGACACCUGGCUCCUGGGCCCACUCGCCCACCACCUCGAGCAACUCCCUUCCUUAACGUCUGCCCGAGUGUUAAGGGCUGAGCACAUGACCUCACAGGAGGAUGUGAGGGGCAGCGGUAACAUGUGUCUAGCACUUUGUCCCUUAUAAGUCACUCACAAAUACUUAUAUCCUUAUUAUCUUCAUCCUUUUCUCUUGAGUUUUUCUCUAAUUCUUUAAGAAGGAAACACGUAGCCAGGAAGUGGAGAGCCUCUCACAUACUUGGGGAGUUUUCAUAUUUCCCCCAUCAGUUCCUUUUCUGGCCUGAGCUCAUGCUCCCUAAGAUCAGGGCUUGGGCUUUGUUUUAGUCUGUGUUGUUAUAAAAGAAUAUCCAACAGUGUGUAAUUUAUAAAGAAAAGAGGUUGACUUGGCUCAUGGUUCUGCAGGCUGUACAGGAACAAGCUUGGCUCCAGCAUCUGCUUGGCUUCUAGGGAGGCCUCAGGAAGCCUUUACUCAUGGGGGAAGGCAAAGGGGAGCAGGCAUUAUGUGAGAGGAAGGAAGAGAGAGGCAGGGGAGGUGCCAGGCCCUUUUAAACAAUCAGCGCCCAUGGGAAAUAACAGAGCCAGAACUCACUCAUUAACUUCAGAAUGGCACCAAGCCAGUCAUAAGGAUCCACCUCCAUGACCCAGACACCUGCCACCAGGCCACGCCCAGUAUCAGGGAUCACAUUUUAACGUGAGACUCGGAGGGGACAAACAUCCAAAUCACAUCUGGCCCCAUAACCUUUGGAGACCUCAGCUCUGGCGCUAGGGUGGUAGGUCCCCUAAGGGUUCGUGCUCUCUGAAGGAAUUGGGUUACAUUACCUGGGAGAGCUUUCUGGAGGAAGUGAGCUUUGCUUCUCACAGGUUUCUAUAAGGAGAAGGAUGGGCUGUUGGAAAGGGAGUGAGUGUGUGUCCAAGUGAGGGAAAGUGAGGUUCAGCAUCUUGGUGCUCUUGGCUCAGCUUCCCUUUCUAUGCCAUGCACAGUGCCUCCAGGAUGCCAGGGGGUGCCAUCCCUGACCUGUUCUGGGGUGGGUGUGCAAGAUGCGAAAUGGCUAAUUUCAGUUCACUGGUAACUCUAACAUUUGGAUAAUAAUUGGCCAUAGCAUUAGCUUUGGUUAUACAUCUCCAAAUGUGUUAUUACAUUAUAUAUAUAUAUAUAUAUAUAUAUAUAUAUAUAUAUAUAUGCACACACACACGUAUACAUAUAUACACACAUCUACACUGUAUUGAUAUGUUGAUAUAUUGAUGUUAUGAAUUAUUUUAAAGAGUAUUCUAUUGAUGUAGAGGAUAAUAUGAAAUUCAAUAUUUUCUGGCACUCUUUUUAAAUGAUACUUAGGCCAUCUGAUGAAAACAGAGCUCAGUAAAGAUUUCUUAUUGAUAAAUCAACAUUACAAAUGAAGACUAGUUUCAUUGCCAUGAUCAGUAAAUUAAGGGUCAUAAAUUAACUGUUGAGUUAUUUUCUUUGCACUAUUAAGCCUUCCACUCAAUCUUUCUACAGUCUUUCUUAUUUAGCAAACGGUGUUACUUGAUAGAAACCUCUGCUGUGAUUUUGUUUUUUGAAAUUUAAUAAGAAAGCUAUAUAAUACAAUUCUCGGGGGAAAACAAGCAAGGUAGGUUUUUCACGGUAACCUCCAAGCAGAGAAAUGGUUUCAGUGCGCAGUCCAGUGAAUUUCCUCCAUAGAGUGUGCUGGAAGAAGUCACCUGGAAGUGAUCACCAGAGUGAUAUUCAGUUUGACUCUCAUUGGUUUGUAUAUAAUUGAUUAUAUAUAAAAACAAAUGCCAGGGUGAGGGUGGGACUAGAGUCCCCCUUUCAGGCUCCUCCCCUUGCAUUUCCAUCUGGUCUUGCAGCAAGUUAACCACGGUCCUAUCUUCAGGUUCAAUUACUCCCUUUAAAAAAUAGGUUUUAACACCUAUGUAUCUCUCAACAUUAUAUUGUUUUAUUUUGAAAAAUUGAAUAAUAACCACACACCUAGCUUUGGAAGCAAGAGGCUUCAUGGCCAGGAUCAGAUAAAUGAUCCUCUUAGAGUGGGUGGGACCUCAGCAUCCCAGAGCGUGUGGAAGAGUGCCUGCCAGGAAGCCACCAGACAAGGUCCUAAGUACAUGCAUGGAAACACUGGGCACGAUGCUGACUGUGGCAUGGGCCAAAAAGUGACAUGGGGCAGAACUUCAGUGGGAGGAGGGGUGCUCUGUACGUUCAGCUUCUAAGCCCACUGUGGCCUUCCUCUUAGGGUUUCACAGAGCCAAGCAGAAAAGGAGCACAGGUGACCUUGGCAGGAAGGCAUGCAUGGGAGAGCAGGUCUGCACUCUGGGACACCAGCCUCAACAGGUCUGUCUCUUGAUCACGCUGGCGACAAGCUGUCAUCGUGAGAUUUCCUCCCCUCCUGGGGAUUGCCUUGGCCUCUGUCUCUGUUGAAUUGAAUCCCGUUUCCUCCAUUCUAGUGGGGUUUUUUUUUGUUUUGUUUUGUUUUUUUUAACAAGGACUCUUGCUCUGUCACCAGGCUGGUGUGCAGUGGCGCGAUUUCGGCUCACUGCAACCUCCGCCUCCUGGGUUCAAGCGAUUCUCCUGCUGCAGCCUCCCUAGUAGCUGGGAUUAGAGGUGUGUCCCACCAUGCCCAGCUAAUUUUUGUAUUUUUAGUAGAGAUGAGGUUUCACCAUGUUGGCCAGGAUAGUCUUGAACUGCUGACCUCAGGUGGUCCACCCGCCUCGGUCUUCCAAGUGCUGGGAUUACAGGCGUGAGCCACUGGCAUCCGGCAUUGCAGGUCUUUUUCUCUCUUAGUUUUUUCUCUCACUUUGGUGAUGAGCAUUCUCCUGGAGAUAUUUAAGAAGUUCCAAAAGAGAUACAUUUUUUUUGAGGUUUUGCAGGUUUGAAAAUGUUUCUAUGCAACCCCCCAUGCUUCACUGAUAGUUUGGAUAUGGAUUUCUAGGUUAGAAAUCACUUCCCUUCAGUGUUUUGAUAGGUUGCUCAUUUAUCUUCUUCCUUCAGGCUGUUGAGACAUUCAAAGCUAUUUUAACUCUUCAUGCUUUCUAUAUAAAUUGUUCCCCCGACCCCUGCUUUAAGACUGUAGAAUUUUCUCCUUGGCCCCAAUAUUAUGAAAUUUCCAGAAAAUGUUUUUUGUUGUG
rnacentral:lncRNA from 1 species